CGCUCUGGUGACCUAGUGGUUAGUGUGACCGCCUCGUACGCGUGAGGUCGUGGGUUCGAUACCUGGUCGAGUCA